rnacentral:rRNA from 1 species
AUUGAACGCUGGCGGCAGGCCUAACACAUGCAAGUCGAACGGUAACAGGAAGAAGCUUGCUUCUUUGCUGACGAGUGGCGUACGGGUGAGUAAUGUCUGGGAAACUUCCUGAUGGAGGGGGAUAACUACUGGAAACGGUAGCUAAUACCGCAUAACGUCGCAAGACCAAAGAGGGGGACCUUCGGGCCUCUUGCCAUCGGAUGUGCCCAGAUGGGAUUAGCUAGUAGGUGGGGUAACGGCUCACCUAGGCGACGAUUCCUAGCUGGUCUGAGAGGAUGACCAGCCACACUGGAACUGAGACACGGUCCAGACUCCUGCGAGAGGCAGCAGUGGGGAAUAUUGCACAGUGGGCGCAAGCCUGAUGCAGCCAUGCCGAGUGUAUGGCGGAGGCGUUCGGGUUGUAAAGUACUUCCAGCGGGGAGGAAGGGAGUACAGUUAAUACCUUUGCUAAUUGACGUUACCCGCAGAAGAAGCACCGGCUAACUCCGUG